AACUUAAGUUGCACUUGAAAAUCAUCGUAGAUCUACGAGUGGUCUGGAGUAAUCGUUCAUUCAUAAGUGCAUCGUAAGACAACAGAGUUACAAGGUCACCUACAGGACAACCAGCAAAUUGCACUCCUGCAAUGACGAUAAUGUAAUGUUUUAAAGGGGACAUUCCAAGCUACUUUUUUUCAAACUAACAUGGUUCCCAGAGGUCUUUAUAAGAGAACUGUGUAAUUUGUUGGUCAAAAUACCGCAAGGAUGAAGCACCAUAUGUCUGUCUUCAACCUGCAAAAACAGCACUGUCUAGAAUGGCAGCUUUUGAGCGUUACCGCCUUAUUAUGAAAAUGAGCCCCUGCUGGCCACACCCCCAACUACGUCGAGUCCAAGCUACCAUGACAACCGUUCAGCAUGAAUCCUGAGGGAGAGAUGGCUUUUGGAGGUGAAGGAGCGGUACAGCCUUAUAUGUUUGAGCCUGAGUCAGACCCAGAGCAAGAAGAGGCUCCCGAACAAGUUUUGCAAUCGCGGAUGCAACAAGAUGUGUCUGAAUGGUAAGUUAUAAAGGUUUUGCCUGCAGUCACAUCUAAAUCUGUUUAGCUCAUACCGAACCUAUCGUACUGCUAUGUUUACCUAAGACGCUUACUUAUCUGUUUCGCCAAAAACCCACUGAAAGUGACAGAAGUGCACAAAUUGAUUUGUCUAUGUAACGUUAACGAUUAUUAAAGAUGAAUCUGUUGCCUUAAUUACAAUAAUAUAGUUAACGUUAAUAAAGUAGUUCACGUCCUGUUACCCCAAUAUAAUGUACGCAAACAUUGUUUUUAGACACGGUUCGAGUUACAGUGGGGGUUAUAUCGAUUCUAAAAUGCAUAGAUGAAUUCUCUCAAUUUUUAAAAUAUUUACGGUUUAUUAACAAAUUGCACACGUACUUUACAGACUACAUUCCCAGUAAUGUUUAUCAGGCAUUAUCAUUCGAACACUAAAUAUCUUAUGAGCAUAUUUUUUAUUAGUAGAUUAAAAGUACAAAUAAACUUUACAUACAUUUACAAUUUUUAUACCUCUUUCCUGGCCCAGGUGUACUUGUCACAACUGUGCUACUAUGCCUACAGAACCAGAAAAUGUAUGCUGCAUGGAAAUACCACAGGUGCAAAGAAGAUUACAACAAGUUGAGAAUCCUCCGGCAUGUAUGGUGGACCACCCUGGCCUUGAACCUGUGUGUCUAAAUGUAUUCUCUCUGCAGAAUGCAUAUAAUAUCUUUAGAGCUGACUAUGGGCCGUUACAUCUACGGGGAAUACAGCAUCGUUACAGAUAUUUGGCCUACAGAAGCUUUGUAAGCUGGGUUUGGGGCUUUCUGGGCCGGAAAAUAAGAGUGGUGAAUCCUUCAUGCGUAGUUCUACGCAUACGACGGGAAUUCCCCGACACUCAGGGAGCAUAUGUA